CCUGGGCACCUGGUGGGAUUGCAUUCACAGUUCCUCAAAGUGACCAAGUGAUUUGCAUUGAGCAUUGAAAGAUAUCCCCCUGGGGCACCGGCCUAGAACAGAGCAACAAAUAUUUACUAAUUCCAUUAACAGAAGAGAGUUGGAAUUUUUUUUUCCCAAGCGAAUAUCCGAGGCCCCAAGUUCAUGGUGAGCCCUCUCCCCCGCAUGGCCCCCUCUCCCCCCACCUCCUCCCUACACGCCCAGGACUUAUAUAUAGUUCACUCAGUGCCAUUUCCCCAAUUUUUUUCUGAAGUUCAAGACAAGUUGAAGGGUCAAAAAGGCAAAGGGUGUUUUAGAAGUUUAGCAGACAGCUUUUGGUACAAGGAAAAGAGAGGGAGAGCUGGAGAGAGGGAAACAGGGUGAAGAGGCAGGAAUCUGGCUCGCAUUAAGCUGGGAGGUUCCAACCAUUGAUUCGCUCUGGAAUUAUGGCUUAAAAAAAUUGCAAGACAUGGUUUAUUCAUGAGGGUUCUUUUUUUUUCUUAAGUAGCCACCCAAAGUUACACUUUGGUUCACCAAGACGAAGACUCAUCCUUCCUCUCUCUAUGGAUCUUUCAGAUGAAGAAAUUAAGGCUCAGGAGGGAGGAAAAAAAUAAAAGAAAGAAUUGUCCAAGGUCACCAAGGCAUCUGGACUCCCAUAUGUUGAGCUACUUCUGCUUGUGGGGCAGCUGCAAUACAUGAAUUCUUCACUACGCCGGAGGAUUUCUGCUCCAUGAAGUCUCUCAGAGAUCCAGGCUGAUACAGAGUUCAUCUUAACAAGUGCUUUCGUAGUCACCACAGCAGUGGGAAAUGAACAUGGAAAUCAUUGAUCAUGGCUCUUAAAGUUUCUGUUCCAAAGUGACACAG
rnacentral:lncRNA from 1 species